UACGGAGGGUGCAAGCGUUAUCCGGAUUCACUGGGUUUAAAGGGUGCGUAGGAGGGCAGGUAAGUCAGUGGUGAAAUCUCCGAGCUUAACUUGGAAACUGCCGUUGAUACUAUCUGCCUUGAAUAUUGUGGAGGUGAGCGGAAUAUGUCAUGUAGCGGUGAAAUGCUUAGAUAUGACAUAGAACACCAAUUGCGAAGGCAGCUUACUACGGAUUGAUUGACACUGAGGCACGAAAGCGUGGGGAUCAAACAGG
rnacentral:rRNA from 1 species